rnacentral:rRNA from 1 species
AAUAGAUACCCGGUAGUCCACGCCGUAAACGAUGAGUGCUAAGUGUUAGAGGGUUUCCGCCCUUUAGUGCUGCAGCUAACGCAUUAAGCACUCCGCCUGGGGAGUACGGCCGCAAGGCUGAAACUCAAAGGAAUUGACGGGGGCCCGCACAAGCGGUGGAGCAUGUGGUUUAAUUCGAAGCAACGCGAAGAACCUUACCAGGUCUUGACAUCCUCUGCCAACCCUAGAGAUAGGGCGUUCCCCUUCGGGGGACAGAGUGACAGGUGGUGCAUGGUUGUCGUCAGCUCGUGUCGUGAGAUGUUGGGUUAAGUCCCGCAACGAGCGCAACCCUUGAUCUUAGUUGCCAGCAUUCAGUUGGGCACUCUAAGGUGACUGCCGGUGACAAACCGGAGGAAGGUGGGGAUGACGUCAAAUCAUCAUGCCCCUUAUGACCUGGGCUACACACGUGCUACAAUGGAUGGUACAAAGAGCUGCGAGCCCGCGAGGGUAAGCGAAUCUCAUAAAGCCAUUCUCAGUUCGGAUUGU